rnacentral:rRNA from 1 species
UACGUAGGGUGCAGGCGUUAAUCGGAAUUACUGGGCGUAAAGCGCACGUAGGCGGCUUGGUAUGUCGGGUGUGAAAUCCCCCGGGCUCAACCUGGGAACUGCAUCCGAAACUGCCAUUGAUACUAUCUGUCUUGAAUACCGUGGAGGUCAGCGGAAUAUGUCAUGUAGCGGUGAAAAUGCUUAGAUAUGACAUAGAACACCAAUUGCGAAAGGCAGCUGGCUACACGAAUAUUGACACUGAUGCACGAAAAGCGUGGGGGAUCAAACAGG